AGCAAACACACGCUCCUGUGUGCACACACUCUCUCGCUGUAAGGCGACACACUCCCCAGAACAGAUGGCUCCAGCCCGGCCUGAGCACAUGCACUCAGGGAAAAUGACUUUUUUUCAGCAGAGUAGUGUUCAAUGACUGCCAGUGAAGGAACUACUGCUGGUGAAAAGUUCCCACAUUUCCACAGAGCUGCUGCCUGGAAAGCCUGGGCAAUGUGGUCACCAGCACCUGCUGGCGUGUGCAAGCUGGGAGUGCCAGGCCUUCUGCUAAAGAGCCUCAAGGAAGCAUCCUGAUG